AUGAACCAAGUAUCAGUUCCAUCCGGGCGCAUGUAUCGAACCAAGGACUGCAUCGAGCAGAACCAGGCAAAACCAGCCGCCUCCUGCCCUCGUCCCGACUUCCGACUCCCUACGCCGGACGCCCUCUCCAUUGCCAGCUCGCCGCCCUCGCUGGUCGCUGGCCGGAGCCCAACCACCGAGGAUGAUCCCUGCUUCCUUUCCCUCCCCACCUGCGAGUUAUGUGCGCGUGCGCCCUGCCCUGCACGGUUGCGACGCUACUCCCGUGUCCCUGCCCGCUUGACGCCCCUGCAAAGCCGGCGGCAGCAACGUUUUUAUGUGCUAUGCUACCAAGAAAUGCAAGCAAUUGUAUUGGACUCCUGCCACCUGACCAAGUUAAGUUUCUCCAAAAGUGGAUCCAAAUCCAGGAAAGAAUCCCAACUGCAUCCACCUGGCUGGAAGGAGAUUCUUCAGGCCCCUCCCUCCCCCUCCGGUCCGGUGGCCUCACCUCACCACCGUCGCUCUCCUCCUUCCUUCCUCUACAGUUCCAGCCCCAGCCAGUCCCCACAAAGCCCACGGUUUGGUUUUAUAUAUAGCCAAACCGGCGGCGGCGGGGACGUGGACGUGGACGGGUGGGCGGCCGCGCCCGCGGCCGACGCUGCGGUGGCCCCGCGUCGCCGUGCCGCAGAGCUUCGGGCUGUCGUCGCUCCUCGCCGAAGGCGGCGACUGCGGCGUCGAGCGACACCGACACCGAGGCAGUCGGCCCCGGUGAGGGUGCCGGUGUGGCCGGGGCAGGCGGCCAGGCCCAGGGAUAACGCGAAGCGCGGCGCCAAGAAGGCAGAGGAGUCGGACGAAGACGAGGAGGGCGGGGAGGAGAUGGUGCCGCCGCACGUGGUGGCGGCGUGGCGGUCGUCGUCGGUGCUGGAGGGCGCCGGGCGGACGCUCAAGGGGCGCGACCUCUGCCGCGUCCGCAACGCCGUGCUCCGCCAGACCGGCUUCCUCGACCUCUGA
rnacentral:rRNA from 1 species